GGAAUGGCGGGUCUACCAUGCAGUCGACGUGAGGGUGUAGCAAUAUACCUGAAAGUGGCGAACGGGUGAGUAACACGUAGGUGACCUGCCUUGAAGCGGGGGAUAACGGCUGGAAACGGCUGCUAAUACCGCAUAAUGUGAGCAGUAUGGGAAUACUGUUUGUGAAAAUCUUGGUGCUUCAAGAGGGGCCUGCGUCCGAUUAGCUAGUUGGUGGGGUAAAGGCCUACCAAGGCGAUGAUCGGUAGCUGGUCUGAGAGGACGAUCAGCCACACGGGAACUGAGAAACGGUCCCGACUCCUACGGGGGGCAGCAGUGAGGAAUAUUGGGCAAUGGGCGCAAGCCUGACCCAGCAACGCCGCGUGGAGGAUGAAGGCCUUCGGGUCGUAAACUCCUUUUACGGGGGAAGAGUGAGGACGGUACCCUGAGAAUAAGUCACGGCUAACUACGUGCCAGCAGCCGCGGUAAUACGUAGGUGACAAGCGUUAUCCGGAAUUACUGGGCGUAAAGCGCACGCAGGCGGCUAAUCAAGUCUGACGUAAAAUCUCCUGGCUUAACUGGGAGGGGUCGUUGGAAACUGGUUAACUUGAGGCAAUGAGAGGGGUGUAGAAUUCCCGGUGUAGUGGUGGAAUGCGUAGAUAUCGGGAGGAAUACCAGAGGCGAAAGCGGCACCCUGGCAUUGGCCUGACGCUCAGGUGCGAAGGCGUGGGGAGCGAACGGGAUUAGAUACCCCGGUAGUCCACGCGGUAAACGAUGAAUACUGGGUGUAGGUGAUGUGAAAGUCAUCUGUACCGAAGCAAACGCGCUAAGUAUUCCGCCUGGGGAGUACGGCCGCAAGGCUAAAACUCAAAGGAAUUGACGG
rnacentral:rRNA from 1 species